GUCAGAUAGCUCAGUUGGUAAAGAGAGGACUGAAAAUC
rnacentral:tRNA from 1 species